AAUAUGGGACAAUGGGGGCAACCCUGAUCCAGCCAUGCCGCGUGUGUGAAGAAGGUCUUCGGUUUGUAAAGCACUUUAAGUUGGGAGGAAGGGCUUUAGGUUAAUACCCUGAAGUUUUGACGUUACCAACAGAAUAAGCAACGGCUAACUCUGUUACAGCAUCCGCGGUAACACAGAGGGGGCAAGCGUUAUUCGGGAUUACUGGGCGUAAAGCGCGGGUAGGUGGUUCAGUAAGAUGGGUGUGAAAUCACCGGGCUUAACCUGGGAACUGCUUUCAUAACUGCUGAGCUAGAGUACGGUAGAGGGUAGUGGAAUUUCCUGUGUAGCGGUGAAAUGCGUAGAUAUAGGAAGGAACACCAGUGGCGAAGGCGGCUACCUGGACUGAUACUGACACUGAGGUGCGAAAGCGUGGGGAGCAAAC
rnacentral:rRNA from 1 species